GCGGAGGAAAAGAAACCAACUGGGAUUACCUUAGUAACGGCGAGUGAAGCGGUAAAAGCUCAAAUUUGAAAUCUGGUACUUUCAGUGCCCGAGUUGUAAUUUGUAGAAUUUGUCUUUGAUUAGGUCCUUGUCUAUGUUCCUUGGAACAGGACGUCAUAGAGGGUGAGAAUCCCGUUUGGCGAGGAUACCUUUUCUCUGUAAGACUUUUUCGAAGAGUCGAGUUGUUUGGGAAUGCAGCUCAAAGUGGGUGGUAAAUUCCAUCUAAAGCUAAAUAUUGGCGAGAGACCGAUAGCGAACAAGUACAGUGAUGGAAAGAUGAAAAGAACUUUGAAAAGAGAGUGAAAAAGUACGUGAAAUUGUUGAAAGGGAAGGGCAUUUGAUCAGACAUGGUGUUUUUUGCAUGCACUCGCCUCUCGUGGGCUUGGGCCUCUCAAAAAUUUCACUGGGCCAACAUCAAUUCUGGCAGCAGGAUAAAUCAUUAAGAAUGUAGCUACUUCGGUAGUGUUAUAGCUUUUUGGAAUACUGUUAGCCGGGAUUGAGGACUGCGCUUCGGCAAGGAUGUUGGCAUAAUGGUUAAAUGCCGCCCG
rnacentral:rRNA from 1 species